CUAUAUCAGGCUGAAACACCAGUUCUCGUACGAUCACCGAAGUUAAGCAACGUCGAACCUGGUUCGUACCUAGAUGGAUGACUGCUUGAAAACACAACGUGCUGUAU